ACUGUUCAUGCAGUUGGAAUAGGAGAAUAGUGGCUGGAGUCCCUGGUGAGAGAGAUGUCUGUGUUCUGCGGUACAACAGAAUAUUACUAGGGCUGAUGAAGUGGUCUUUUGAUAAGGUCUUGCCUCUGAUCACACUAACUCUGACUUCAAGCCAGCAGCAGUCAUGACAUGCCUAGAGGAUGGAAUCUUGCCAACAAUUUCACUGAUGGGAUUGCAUCUCACCAUCUUUCUAAACCCGUCAGGGUGAACAAUGGAAAAUACAUAUUUUGGUAUGCCAGGAAUCAACAAUGCUUAAGACCUAUUAUGAAGUUUUCAAGGUGUUCAAGAUGGAGGCGUGAUUACACAACUAGCCAAGUGCAUAGCCCAGUAAAGAUCAAGAGGCAAAAUCCAAGCACUGCUCUGGACGCCAUUACCUCCACUAGGAGCUCCACGUGGAUGCUGAGCUCUGAGUGGAAGGGCUUGGGCCACCAGGAGAUAUAAAGGUGUGCAACUCCCCAGCAUCACAAGGGCUAUGAAUCUCCCAGACUUUGACCUGUUCCAGGGAUUCCCUGGCUCCCCAGAGAGGUACAUCAGGAGUCAACAACUCUGAAGAGCAUCAUGUGACCUAUUAUGUUUUUUGGGUGUUUAAAAUGGAGGCUCUAGGUAUCAGCUGAGGUUGUGACACUUGUGGGGCCUUCUGGAUCUGCAGCUGCCUUAGAUGCACAAAUGAAAGGGUCGCUGAUCCCUGAUUCAAAUGUGAAGGGCGGCAGGGCCGUAUAGCGGCAGCUGUAGUUGCCUGCAUGUUGGGGACCGACGAAGAGCAGCUUCAGGGCUUCCAGCCUUGGCUUGGGUGGUGGCCCUGUAUCCACGGGCUCACUGGAAGAAGAUCCUGAGAAUGGCGGUGCCUGUUCCAUGUAGAUACAGCUGUAGUUUCCAGAGUCUAUUGUUGAGAUAUUGUGCAGCUCAAAGACUGCUUCGGUCCCAGACGAAUUCAGCAUUUGCACCACAACUAAUUCCGGUUUGCCCUGGCGUUGCAGGCCAAAGCGCAGGCCGGAUACGGGUGCAGUACAUCGAAGCUGCACCGUUGAACCAGGCUCAAGGUCCCUACUCGAUGGCUCUGCAGCAGCUCGAAGACCUUAGUCGGCAAAUCAACUGCACACACCAGGGUCAGGAGUAGCAAAACUACCUUGAUACUUUCAGAAGAGGCGGCAGUAAAGUUGCAAAGGGCCACACUUGUCAAGAUCAAGCGUCUGAGAAUUCUUGCAGGACUCUCAUCUCUAAUUGGGUACAGAAGAAAGAUGAAAAUAGAAUUUGACAUUUUUGAUAUGAGGUGGUUUUAUUUUUGUGUUGAGAGCAGGGAUAAUAUUAUUAUGAUUGAGAUCCCUCACCCCUUGCAAGGAAAUAAGGCUUUAAGAAGGAAUGCAUAGCAAUAUCUCAAAGAAGAAAGAGCAGAAGUGACAGUGACCUGAAGAAGAUGAAAGCAGAGAAAAGUAGUUCCAGCCAUCUACUUGUUGGUACAUCAACUGACCACAGAUCAUUAAGUGAACCAGCAGAGACAAGAAGAACUACUCAGAUAAGCAGAUACAAAGUUUUUACCCAUAAAAUUGUCUGAACAGCAGAUGCAGGAUGAUACAGAACCAGGAAUCAAAAGAGCUGAGGGAAACUUCUCACUGCAACAGGAUGGUAAUGAGUGUUCCCAGUUAAUACAGAGACUUAUAACUGGUAAAAUUGUUGAGAAUAAAGGACAUAUUGAAAUGCUUGAUGAUUUUAGGUGCCAACUGGUGGACAGUCAUGAAUAUGACUCACAAACUGCCUUGCAUCUAGCCAGCACUAUUAACAGAGAAUUAUUAAGAAUACUGCUUCUUCUGAUAGGGUCUCUGCUUGAUUCCCACCUCUAGAUUCCUUCUUGAGUUCAUGGCCUGGCUACCCUAGAUAACUGACUAUAACCUAGAAGCUGAAGUCCUCUCCAAGCUGUUAAAAGGAGCUUAUUUGUACAAUCCUGAUAUCUUUCUUCAACAAAACCAGUCCCCUACCCUUGCCUUGAGCUACCACAAUGACACUAAUGACAAUCAGCCUGAGCCUAAAUGAAUCUACAGACAGGGAGCAGGCUUGAGCCCAAACCCAGCAAGGAGCCCCAACCUACAACCAGAGCUCCAGGAAGAACCAUGAAGGUGAAGUCUGCUUAGGUCACAUGAUUUUCAGUAACACACAGUUGACUGACUAGGCUUCAUCAUUAGGGCUGAAACCGUAAUCUGGGGGCCAGUUGUUCCGAAGCAGUGUUGUGUGGAAGGCUAAUACUGUAAGACCGGAGGUAUGCUAAUGGUCAGCUAACUGUGCUCCAGUAGAGGUAGGUGUACCUCUGCUACAUCUGCUCUAUAGCAACUCUGAUCUAAACUCUCCACACCUUGUCUACAUCCCUGCCUCUUCCUCCCUUUCUCCACUUUUUUUUUUCCUGUGGGUUUCAACUGUGUUUACAUGGCUCUGGAACACUGGAAACCCUGGACCAGAGAUUUUAUUAAGUGUCCUUUUACAAGUCUCCCAUUAAGCCCCUAGGUAAGAGAAGAUAGCACUUGUCUGAGUGCACACUGUCCUUCACAGUGUCCGGUGUCCAGUCCUAUGUAAACUCAACUCCCUUGUACUCAUCAUGAAGGAAGCAAACAAGCAAACAAAAGCAAGUAGGAACUUAAGAGAAAAAAAAACCCACAAGAAACAUACAAGCAAAACCUAUAAAAACAGAAUUGGAAGCCAUAAUAUACAAGCAAAAGACCAAUAAGAAAGAAAAAAAUACCCAAGUUAAUAUGAGAAAAAUAAACUACAA
rnacentral:lncRNA from 1 species